UGUGUCGAUACCCUUCUCUCUUUACCUCCGAGGAUGUGCUUACUAGUUGAGACUCCCUAUUCUGUUAGUGUCAUACCCUAAAAUAAGAAAGAGGCCGGAUAAGUUACUAAGCCGCCUGACCCCGCGGGUCACCUUUAAGUCGCCCCAUUCCUCGAUUCGAGUUGUCCGCUCAGGUACACUGUCUAGAACACCGACCCAGGUUUUGAACAUAGAAUAACUUGACUUCAUGCCGGAUCCCUAGUAGGAACGCUUAUUUUCAUCAUGC
rnacentral:lncRNA from 1 species